GACGAACGCUGGCGGCGUGGAUUAGGCAUGCAAGUCGGACGGUAGGGCUUUAUCGUAAGAUAGAGUUUGAGAGUGGCGAACGGGUGAGUAACACGUAGGAAUCUACCCUUAAGACGGGGACAACCCAGGGAAACUUGGGCUAAUACCGGAUGAGAGUGCGAGAGAUUGCAUUUAAAAGGAUGGCGAAAGUUGUCGCUUAGGGAUGAGCCUGCGGUCUAUUAGUUAGUUGGUGAGGUAAGAGCUCACCAAAGGCGAUGAUAGAUAGGCGGCCUUAACGGGUGGUCGCCCACACUGGGAUUGAGAUACGGCCCAGACUCCUACGGGAGGCAGCAGUGGGAAUUUGGACAAUGGGCGCAAGCCUGAUCCAGCAAUGCCGCGUGCAGGAUGAAGGCCUUCGGGUUGUAAACUGUCUUUUGUACGGUAACGAAAAGGCUACUGGUUAAUACCUGGGGCUCAUGACGGUACCGUAAGAAUAAGCACCGGCUAACUACGUGCCAGCAGCCGCGGUAAUAGUA
rnacentral:rRNA from 1 species